rnacentral:lncRNA from 1 species
UUGAAUUCCAAAGGCAUCAAAAAAGGCAGUCAAUUCAAUCAGAGAGAGAUGGCGGAUUUUCUUCAUGUCUUCAGCAGACAGAUCUCCUGCUUCAGUUAAGCCAAAUCUGGUUUUCUGAACAUUAAAUUUCUAAAACACACAGUGAAGAGCCUCCGUAACCAUUUCUGAAUAAGACACUUCAAAUGACAGCUCUUCAGCCUCUGGUGGAAUGUUCUUUUCCAGAAAAUCAUCAUCUAAAGACAAAACAAAGAAUACAGACUAUUUAAUAUGCUAUUUAAUCAAUCAAUACUAUUUGCUAUAAAACAAAUUCAAAAUAUUUACAAGUGAAUCCACAAGCACGUUACAGUGUUUAUAUGCGAGGAAAAGCAGCAGACUCACCCCGAGGAGUUCAGUUAAACAACAGUGUCGCAUCACAGACCUCCAUAUGGACACAUUUUUAUCAUCAUUGCCCA